CCUGUGGCUCAGAUGGUAAAGCAUCUGCCUCCAAUGCAGGAGACCUAGGUUCAAUCCCAGGGUCAGGA
rnacentral:tRNA from 1 species